UCCAAGGUUCACCCCAAAACACACCUUGUC
rnacentral:piRNA from 1 species